CCUAUCUGCUACCUAGCGAACACACAGCCAAGGGAACAGGCUUGGAAUAAUCAGCGGGGAAAGAAGACCCCUUUUGAGCUUGACUCUAGUCCGACUUUGUGAAAUGACUUACGAGGUAUAGCCUAAGUGGGAGCUCACGCGAACCUGUAAAACCACUACUCGUUUUGCCAUUUUACUUAUUCCGUGAAAUAGUGACCACUUUCCGGUGGUUCUAGUAUUAAGGUUAGGCGCAAGCUCGACUGAACUAAGCGGAAGACAUGGUCAGGUGGGGAGUUUUGGCUGGGGCGGCACAUCUGUUAAACUAUAACGCAGGUGUCCUACGGUGAGCUCAGAGAGAACAGAAAUCUCUCGUAGACCAAAAGGGGAAAAGCUACGACUUGAUUUUGAUUUUCAGUAUGAAUACAAACUGU
rnacentral:rRNA from 1 species